AAGUCGUAACAAGGUCUCCGUUGGUGAACCAGCGGAGGGAUCAUUACCGAGUUUACAACUCCCAAACCCCUGUGAACAUACCUUAUGUUGCCUCGGCGGAUCAGCCCGCGCCCCGUAAAAAGGGACGGCCCGCCGCAGGAACCCUAAACUCUGUUUUUAGUGGAACUUCUGAGUAUAAAAAACAAAUAAAUCAAAACUUUCAACAACGGAUCUCUUGGUUCUGGCAUCGAUGAAGAACGCAGCAAAAUGCGAUAAGUAAUGUGAAUUGCAGAAUUCAGUGAAUCAUCGAAUCUUUGAACGCACAUUGCGCCCGCCAGUAUUCUGGCGGGCAUGCCUGUUCGAGCGUCAUUUCAACCCUCAAGCCCAGCUUGGUGUUGGGAGCUGCAGUCCUGCUGCACUCCCCAAAUACAUUGGCGGUCACGUCGAGCUUCCAUAGCGUAGUAAUUUACACAUCGUUACUGGUAAUCGUCGCGGCCACGCCGUUAAACCCCAACUUCUGAAUGUUGACCUCGGAUCAGGUAGGAAUACCCGCUGAACUUAA
rnacentral:rRNA from 2 species